UACGGAGGAUGCAAGCGUUAUCCGGAAUGAUUGGGCGUAAAGCGUCCGCAGGUGGCAAUGUAAGUCUGCUGUUAAAGAGUCUAGCUCAACUAGAUAAGAGCAGUGGAAACUACAUAGCUAGAGUACGUUCGGGGCAGAGGGAAUUCCUGGUGUAGCGGUGAAAUGCGUAGAGAUCAGGAAGAACACCGGUGGCGAAGGCGCUCUGCUAGGCCGUAACUGACACUGAGGGACGAAAGCUAGGGGAGCGAAAGGG
rnacentral:rRNA from 1 species